CCUACGGGUGGCAGCAGUGGGGAAUAUUUCGCAAUGGGCGAAAGCCUGACGCAGCGACGCCGCGUGAGGGAUGAAGGUCCUCGGAUCGUAAACCUCUGUCAGCAGGGAAGAACGGUCACUGUGCUAAUCAGCAGUGCAUUGACGGUACCUGCAAAGGAAGCACCGGCUAACUCCGUCCCAGAAGCCGCGGUAAUACGGAGGGUGCGAGCGUUAAUCGGAAUUACUGGGCGUAAAGCGCUCGUAGGCGGUAUGUCAAGUCUAGGGUGAAAUGCCCGCGCUCAACGUGGGAACUGCCUUUGAAACUGGCAAACUGGAGUGUGUGAGAGGAUAGUGGAAUUCCAGGUGUAGGAGUGAAAUGCGUAGAUAUCUGGAGGAACAUCAGUGGCGAAGGCGACUAUCUGGCACAUAACUGACGCUGAGGAGCGAAAGCGUGGGUAGCGAACAGGAUUAGAUACCCGGGUAGUC
rnacentral:rRNA from 1 species